AACAUCUAUGCCGCGUGAAGGAUAAGGUCCUCUGGAUUGUAAACUUCUUUUAUCUGGGACGAAAAAAGGUCUUUCUAGAUCACUUGACGGUACCAAAUGAAUAAGCACCGGCUAACUCCGUGCCAGCAGCCGCGGUAAUACGGAGGGUGCAAGCGUUAUCCGGAUUCACUGGGUUUAAAGGGUGCGUAGGCGGGCAGGUAAGUCAGUGGUGAAAUCCUGGAGCUCAACUCCAGAACUGCCAUUGAUACUAUCUGUCUUGAAUAUUGUGGAGGUAAGCGGAAUAUGUCAUGUAGCGGUGAAAUGCUUAGAUAUGACAUAGAACACCCAUUGCGAAGGCAGCUUACUACGCAUAUAUUGACGCUGAGGCACGAAAGCGUGGGGAUCAAACAGGAUUAGAUACCCUGGUAGUCCACGCCCUAAACGAUGGAUACUCGACAUACGCGAUACACUGUGUGUGUCUGAGCGAAAGCAUUAAGUAUCCCACCUGGGAAGUACGUUCGCAAGAAUGAAACUCAAAGGAAUUGGCGGGGGUCCGCACAAGCGGAGGAGUAUGUGGU
rnacentral:rRNA from 1 species